rfam:Aureobasidium subglaciale EXF-2481 unplaced genomic scaffold scaffold_3, whole genome shotgun sequence.
UUCAAGGAUGAACACCUGAUAGGGACAGCUUAUGCACAAUGUGCAGAUGCUGAGAGCUCAGGCAGAGUAUUUUAGUAGAUGCCUCUCUUGUCUGACA